UACGUAGGUGGCAAGCGUUGUCCGGAUUUACUGGGCGUAAAGAGCGCGCAGGCGGUCGUUCAAGUCGCGUGUGAAAGCCCCCGGCUCAACUGGGGAGGGUCACGCGAUACUGAUCGACUCGAAGGCAGGAGAGGGUAGUGGAAUUCCCGGUGUAGUGGUGAAAUGCGUAGAGAUCGGAAGGAACACCAGUGGCGAAGGCGGCUACCUGGACAGAUACUGACGCUGAGGCGCGAGAGCGUGGGGAGCAAACAGG
rnacentral:rRNA from 1 species